GUAUUGAUGAUGACUCCCACAAAUGCAUUCUUUGGAAAUCUGUACAAAAUGAAUGGGUCUCGGGUUUCUCUGAGGUCAUGUCACUGACGGGUCC